rnacentral:rRNA from 1 species
AUUGAACGCUGGCGGCAGGCCUAACACAUGCAAGUCGAACGAGUGGCGGACGGGUGAGUAAUGUCUGGGAAACUGCCUGAUGGCGGGGGAUAACUACUGGAAACGGUAGCUAAUACCGCAUACCAUCGGAUGUGCCCAGAUGGGAUUAGCUAGUAGGUGGGGGAAAGGCUCACCUAGGCGACGAUCCCUAGCUGGUCUGAGCGGAUGACGAGCCACCCGGGAACGGAGAAACGGUCCAGACUCCGAGGGGAGGCAGAGGUGGGGAAUAUUGCACAAUGGGCGAAAGCCUGAUGCAGUCAUGCCGCGUGUAUGAAGAAGGCCUUCGGGUUGUCAAGUACGUUCAGCGGGGAGGCGUUACCCGCAGAAGAAGCACCGGCUAACUCCGGGCCAGCCGCCGCGGUAAUAC